rnacentral:misc_RNA from 1 species
UUAAGUUCAGCGGGUAUCCCCGCCUGAUCCGAGGUCAAACAUGGCGCGAGCGCCGGUUUUGGGCGGGCGGUCCCCCUCCCGUCGUAACAUGCGCGACGAUCGGGGCGAAGGGCCACCGCCAACGGGUUCCGGGGGGGUCGCGCGGACGCGACGUCCCCCAACACCCAGCGAGGCUGGAUUGUUGCAAUGACGCUCGGACA